GCACUGCUGAUGAGACCCAAACCAAGUCGAAACAGCUGUCCAGUGC
rnacentral:hammerhead_ribozyme from 1 species